GGGUCAGUAGGUUGGUCGUGCCACCGGUACGUACUGGUCUCACUGAUUCCUCCUUCCUGAAGAACCGGAAUGCCAUUAAUUUGGUGUUGCGGGGAAACAGGACUGUUACUUUGAAAAAAUUAGAGUGUUUAAAGCAAGCUAACGCUUGAAUACAUUAGCAUGGGAUAAUGAAAUAGGACGAUCGAUCCUAUUUUGUUGGUUUCUAGGAUUGACGUA
rnacentral:rRNA from 1 species